rnacentral:lncRNA from 1 species
AACAAACGGUAAUUAAAGAAAAACGAAUAAAUAAAUAUCCUAUAACGACCUUCACUAACACUUGAAGGGAGUCCGGGUAGUGAACUACUCACAACUCUCUUGUUGAUAGAGAUCUGAAUCUUGGUCCUCUUGAUAUGAAAUUGUUAAUGAAAGGAUGAGUUACACUAGCCCAGUAAGAAUAUCACACUAAUCACAGGUACGAAAAACUGAAGAUUGGUAAAAAUAAGAAAA